GACAGAGGGUGCAAACGUUGUUCGGAAUUAUUGGGCGUAAAGCGCACGUAGGCGGCUUGGCAAGUCGGAUGUGAAAUCCCUCGGCUCAACCAAGGAAGUGCAUCCGAAACUGCUGAGCUUGAGUACUUAAGAGGAUCGCGGAAUUCCCGGUGUAGAGGUGAAAUUCGUAGAUAUCGGGAGGAACACCAGUGGCGAAGGCGGCGAGCUGGGAAGAUACUGACGCUGAGGUGCGAAAGCGUGGGGAGCAAACAGG
rnacentral:rRNA from 1 species